UGGGGAAUAUUGGACAAUGGAGGAAACUCUGAUCCAGCAAUUCUGUGUGUGUGAAGAAGGUUUUAGGACUGUAAAACACUUUUAGUAGGGAAGAAAAAAAUGAGGGUACAUACAGAAGAAGAAACGGAUAAAUACGUGACAGCAGCCGCGGUAAUACGUAUGUUGCGAGCGUUAUCCGGAAUUAUUGGGCUUAAAGGGCAUCUAGGCGGUAAGACAAGUUGAAGGUGAAAACCUGUGGCUCAACCAUAGGCUUGCCUACAAAACUGUUGAACUAGAGUACUGGAAAGGUGGGUGGAACUACACGAGUAGAGGUGAAAUUCGUAGAUAUGUGUAGGAAUGCCGAUGAUGAAGAUAACUCACUGGACAGAAACUGACGCUGAAGUGCGAAAGCUAGGGGAGCAAACAGG
rnacentral:rRNA from 1 species